CACGUAGGGCGCAAGCGUUGUCCGGAAUUAUUGGGCGUAAAGAGCUCGUAGGCGGUCUGUUACGUCUGCUGUGAAAACCCGGGGCUUAACCCUGGGCUUGCAGUGGAUACGGGCAGACUAGAGGCAGGUAGGGGAGAAUGGAAUUCCCGGUGUAGCGGUGAAAUGCGCAGAUAUCGGGAGGAACACCGGUGGCGAAGGCGGUUCUCUGGGCCUGACCUGGACGCUGAGGAGCGAAAGCGUGGGGAGCGAACAGG
rnacentral:rRNA from 1 species